rnacentral:rRNA from 1 species
UACGUAGGGAGCAAGCGUUUGUCCCGGAAUCAUUGGGCGUAAAGCGCGCGUAGGUGGCCUCAUAAGUCCGCUGUGAAAAGUCAAAAGGCUCAACCUUUUGAAAGCCGGUGGAUACUGUGAGGCUAGAGUACGAAGAGGCGAGUGGAAUCCUGGUGUAGCGGUGGAAUGCGCAGAUAUCAGGAGGAACACCAAUGCGAAGGCAGCU